AAAAAAAAAAAAAAAGAAGAUGAAAUUUACCCAAUUUAUAGAAAAGUACAUAUUCAGGGAAGAAAGAGAAAUUAAGGAUGAUGAAUGAUGAUUGUCAACUUAUUGUGUUAGCCUGCCAGAAAAUAAGAUGCUGCAAGAACUUGCUUUAGAUCCUGUUAAAGAGGUGAAGAAUGCUCAAAUUCUUUCGUCUAAACUAAUCCUCUGUUUGGAUCGAGAGAAAUGUAGAGAAUUUUUAUUUUUUUAUUGAAUGAUGAAAAGGUAAAGGAAAAAAAGUAAUUUUUUAAUUUUUUUUAUU
rnacentral:misc_RNA from 1 species